UUACCAAAUUUGACAUUUUCAUUAUAUAUCUCUACUACUUAUUAAGGCUGCAAGGGUAGUCUGCCUCCUUUUGGUUCUGCCUUCCGAUAAUCUCUACUGUCCGUGUUCGCUACCCACCUCCGCGUGCACCUCGCACCCUCUGAGCAUCCACCGCGCGAACAACCCUACCUGUUGUCUCUCGUUACUCCCUUUGUAGCCGCCGCAGCACCGCCUCCCCACGCGCGAGCCGUAGCCGCUCCUCCGUCCGCCGCGCGUGGGUCGUAGCCCCCCUAAAGGUUCGUUCGCAACCAGACGCCGCUGCCACCACCUCCAGGUUCGUUAGCCGGAUGGCGACCCUUGCUGAUGGCUCCCUGAGGCGUUCAGGAAUCCAUGCGGCUUGGCUCGGCGGCGACCAAGCCUGAUGGUCAGCCGACGCGUGGGGUUCUCAACCUGCAUUGCCUAAUGCUGUCAUGCCGAGGUGCAUGGGGAUUUGGGACCAUGGUGAGCAGAGGUUCAAAGCAAGCAGUCUCAAAAUCAAGUGAUGGCUUCCGUAUAAGAGGGACUUUUCAGGGUCUCUUGCUCAUCAUUCGGUGCCAACGAUGGAGACAACUCUUUGCUGGCUUGAGCCUUAACUAUGCCAAGGGUAUUCAUCAUCUCUUUAACCAAAAAACAGAAGUCUGCUUGUGUUACGCACUUAAACAGGAUUACUCAAUGGACGUGCAUUACUUGUUCUUAAUAUCAUAUGCAUAUAAACUACUUCAUUUGUUUCUACAGCUUAAUGACUCAAAUGUCAAGGAGAUAAAGAGCAAGACAAAGAAGUAUGUCGUGGUAGUUGUGCGUCACCCUUGUCUGAUAGUUUGGUCGGCAUAUCUUUGUUUUUUAGAAACUGCUCCCAACUCUCUAGCUAUCUAUGGGUGCAUGUGCUAUUGCUUAGAUCUGUACUUCCAUAUAUGUGCUGAUUGAUAUGUUAAAUUUGACUCCUCAUCCUCUUGGUAUGUAUUUUCAAAAGAAAGAAAAAUGCAGUGUCUGGCGUAGGAUCAUCUUCAUCCAAAGGAAAGGCAAUUGCAGGUAAAAGGGGAGAAAAAUCCAAGAGGGAAUAUAACAGCAGUGGUAUUCAAGAAGCAGAGAGAAAUAAACUGUUUUUCUUUGAGGGCUCUUCAUAUAAUUUUGACUUGGAGGAUCUAUUGAGGGCUUUGGCUGAAGUCCUUGGAAAAGGAAGUUAUGGGACUACGUACAAAGCUGUUCUGGAGGAUGGAACAACAGUGGUGGUCAAGAGAUUGAAAGAAGUGGUGGCGGGAAAGAGGGAAUUUGAACAGCAGAUGGAGCUAAUUGGCAAGGUUUGCCAGCAUCAAAACACUGUCCCAUUGCAUGCUUACUACUACUCCAAGGAUGAGAAGCUCUUGGUGUAUGACUAUGUCCCACUAGGUAGCCUUUGUGCUGCUUUGCAUGGUAACAAAGCUGUUGGAAGAACCCCAUUGGACUGGGAGACCAGGGUGAAGAUAACUCUGGGCACAACACGCGGAAUGGCUUACCUUCACUCCGUGGGUAGCGGCGGGAAGUUCAUUCACGGGAACAUCAAGUCAAGCAACAUCCUUCUCUCACAGGAACUCGGCGCCUGUGUCACCGAGUUCGGCCUUGCCCAGCUCAUGUCCACGCCCCACGUCCACCCACUGCACACGGAAUGGCUUACCUUCACUCGGUGUGGCUCAAGUAUGAACGCUUAUGCUUUUCUGGAUUAAUUGAAAUGUCUUUCAUCUUCUAUGACUAUGCAUGUGUUUUUCAAGCAAUACUUGGUACUCGAGCAUCAGAGAUCAUAAAGCUUGCUCCUUUUUGUCUCCAUUUAUCAGUCGAGGGGGAGUCACCAACGAACGACCCACAAUUGAUUUGUAGGCAUUGCUGGUUGUCUUGAAGAAGAUGAUGGUGGGCUCUUCCCACCACCAGCAGCUAUAGAAGAAGGGGAAGUCUGUGGCUGACAAGGGUCCGCCCCCGCAACUGUGGUGGCAGAGAAGGUGGUGGCGCGGUUAGGGCAGCCACAACACCCCAUCAUCUGGGCGAGGCGGUAGCAUCAUACUUGUCAUCAUCCCGUCACAUAGCUUUGGUAUUAUUUCUGGUUUUUGGCUCAUGUGCACGUUUGUUGGUAUCACUAAUCAUUUUCACUUUAGUUACAAUGAUCGCCUAAAUCCAUGGUUUUUAUUGCCUAUAGUUUGUUAAUGUUUCUCUGGUUUUGCAGUAGUUGCCUAAAAACUAAAAGUAUAUGAACACUUCUCUAUUAGAUAAUGUGAUUUAUUAGAGUUAAGAAAAUUGAUGUGUAUGAUAUAGACAUUUGAGCUGGGGCUAAUGCUCGUUUACAUCUUAUUAUUGUUGUUGUAUGCUUGUGUGCUUAAUUUGUUGUUUCUGUAGAUUAAUGUGAGGUAUAAUCUUGUUUUCGGCUCUCCUGAUGUUGUAGCUGUUGAGUGCAAGAAAUCACAUGCAAGCUGGAUUGUGUUAGACAAGAUUUGAAGCAUGAGGAGAAGCAUUGUGGGGGAGAAGCUUCAGUGCAACAUUGUUGUUCUAUAGGGAUCAACAUCCUCAAGACCGCUUGGAAAACUUUCACAAAAAACUCAUAAUGCAAGCAUAUGUUUUAUUGGAAAAGUUUUCCAAGCUGAAUUUCUGAAAGCCUCCUCACUGCUUUAGUUAUGCUAAAUUGGAAUUUGCAACUAGGGGUUUCUAACAAGUAAAUUUCUUAGCUAAAGGUGGAUUUUGGUCUGUUCAUCGACGUGUCCUUUCUGAUGGUGGCGUUGUUUGUUAGCUACAAAAUCAUCAAUCAAAGAUUG